GUGACAGAGUGAGAGAGGGGGUGACUAGUGACCGAGUGAGGGAGGGAGUGGGUGACUAGUGACAGAGUGAGGAAGGGGGUGACACAGUGAUAGUCACCCCAUUCCUCCCUCUGUCACUAAUCACCACCUCCCUCACUCUCACUAGUCACCCCUUCCCUCCCUCACUCUGUCACUAGUCACACCCUCCCUCUCUCUGUCACU